AAUCAACGCUGGCGGCGUGCCUCAGACAUGCAAGUCGAACGAUUAAAGCUCUCUUCGGAGAGUGUAUAGAGUGGCGCACGGGUGAGUAACACGUAAGUAAUCUACCCUCGAGUGGGGAAUAACGUCCGGAAACGGACGCUAAUACCGCAUAAUGCAGCGGCACCGCAAGGUGACAGUUGUUAAAGAUUUAUCGCUUGAGGAGGAGCUUGCGGCAGAUUAGCUAGUUGGUAAGGUAAUGGCUUACCAAGGCUACGAUCUGUAACCGGUCUAAGAGGACGGUCGGUCACACUGACACUGAAUAACGGGUCAGACUCCUACGGGAGGCAGCAGUCGGGAAUUUUGGGCAAUGGGCGAAAGCCUGACCCAGCAACGCCGCGUGAAGGAUGAAGUAUUU
rnacentral:rRNA from 1 species